AACAGUCUCUGCUGGCUCUUGCAUGAACUUGCGGAGUCUCUCAGAAAAGAAGAAGACGAUGGCCAAAAAAGCAAGAAAAAAGAUGAAGAUGGUCUCGGCCGACUGCCUCGCUCCUCUCUCCCUCUAUUCCCAGGUUCGUAUUCUUCUAAUGAUGGUUGUCAAUCCUUUCUUUCUUUCUUUUUUUUCUUUCUUUUUGGCUCCGUUUGUGGGUUGGCGUUGCUGCUUGGUUUCGUCAGUGUCGGGUGCCUUGGUGUUUCCUUAGCUCCUUUUUCUAGGAAUAAGAGGAACAAUACAUUCAUCUCUUUAUGGUUCAAGGCGAAAAGAUACCUGUGUUCUGUUAAAAAUUGUUGAUUUUCUGCCAUUCGGUGAUAAAAAUCAGGUUUUUUUCUAAUUAUUGACAAAGCCCAUCUGCAAAACUUUCUAACCGAGCAUGCUCCUACACGUACCUGUGAAAGCUUAAAUUGAUUUUGUCAUUUUCCUUUUGAGUUCGAUGAAGUUCUUUCCUUUUUUUUCGUUUUCGCGUAUGUGUUAAAUGCCCUUGCAAGCGAUUCUGCUUCCGUUACAAAGAUAAGGAGAAAAUCUCCAUGAACGGGUACCUACUAUUUUUCUAUUUUUCCAAUUAGGGAAAGGAAAUAGUACAGAGAGCUUUCAUUUAUCGACAAUGCGCCUUGCUUAUAAAAUUGCUAUAGCUCCCAAUGUACGUCGAGAUAACAUUCGGAUGUAAUUGUUUGCAGAAACUUAACAUGAUGUAAGGACCAAAUCUCACAACUGAGACCGGAGUUAUGAUUGUUCAGGAUUUGCACAUCAUUUACACGCUUUCUGAAUUCCAAUGGAAGUUGGGAACUUGAGGUCAUGUGCCUCUCCAGGC
rnacentral:lncRNA from 1 species